UACGUAGGGGUGCAAGCGUUAAUCGGAAUUACUGGGCGUAAAGCGUGCGCAGGCGGCUUUGCAAGACAGAUGUGAAAUCCCCGGGCUCAACCUGGGAACUGCAUUUGUGACUGCAUGGCUGGAGUGCGGCAGAGGGGGAUGGAAUUCCGCGUGUAGCAGUGAAAUGCGUAGAUAUGCGGAGGAACACCGAUGGCGAAGGCAAUCCCCUGGGCCUGCACUGACGCUCAUGCACGAAAGCGUGGGGAGCAACAGG
rnacentral:rRNA from 1 species